rnacentral:lncRNA from 1 species
AAUUAAAGAGGAGACCACUUUUCUUUCGAGGAAUCUUUUAUAGAUGACGAAAAAAAAAAAAAAAAAAGAGUCGCGAAAGGUGAAACUCAUCGAGUAGUCUACAUAAUCGCUGUUACGAGAUCUGUAAUUCGUCUUUCGAAACGUCGAUCUUCUUCUUCUCUGAAUGCGUACAGAGUUAAACAUGUUUAAAUAGUGAUGAGGCUUUCCCGCACUACUUCCUAACCGCGCAGUGAAGCUAGGAAUAUUUAAAUUCGCCACAUUUUUAAUACGGUAUUUAGUUGCGUUGGGAGGCGUGUAACUCGUGGCCAUGGCGAAAUUUCGGAAGGAAACAGUUUAAUUGGUGCGAAUUUUUCGGUUAAAUUCUCCUAAUUCCAAGAUAUAAACAGAAUCGGGGCUGUUUUCCUAGACUGAAUACGUUUUCUAAUGAUAAAGUGGAGAUGAAGCGCUAUCAGUUAUGAGAGUUAACUGAUUGGAAUGAAUGUACAACACAAAAAUCCAGGAUAACACGGCCAUGAAUUAUUUAUUUAAACUGAGGAUGCAGAGUCUUCCUCCUCUUCUAUUCGAACUGCCGCCUUCCGCUCCUCCAGCUAUUCAUCUGUGAAUAAAUGAGUGCGACCUUCUGAUAUUAACGUGCUUUACUAUAUCUUAGUUUCGCCAACAAACUUUUCCCAACAUCUAUUCUCAUUUCCUUCCCCCUCCUGAGAGUAAAGGGAGACGAGUGGCUCCACCUGUCAUCUACGUCCCGAGUUAAUUUGGCAGCGGACAACCUCACCAUCUGUUGCAUUGUUUACGGCAUUGUAGCUCUGAUUUAAGACUAAUUUAAAAGAACGUGAGGGGAUAGAGGUGCGUGACGCAACGUGACGUCACGUCGUCGUCACGCUCCCCACUCCACACGCGCGCGCGCGCUCAUAUCGGUUUUGUUUUUUUUUCCCAUCCCUCGCCAUGGAAGCGUAACAGGUUUUGGGGAGACCCUUUAGCAAUUCGGACGCACUUAACUAAUUUCGGGCUCAUUCAAUUAUAAGUUAUUGUCUGCAUAUAGAUGGACAAAUUAUAUAGUACUCCGCCCCGCUCGGCCCGUAUUGCGUCACGUGACUGCCGCACCCACACCGUACCGGAUCUUCCCCACCCUCUGAAAGGCCUCGCCUGCUCCGUCCAUCCCUUUACUUUACACUUUCGCUUAUCUGCCGUGAAAGUGAAUUAAGUAUGCCCAGCAUCAGAUAUAUAUAAACACGUAUAUAUAUACACACGUACGGACUCGCAUCGCUGCUUUUUACCCUCCCCCCUCCUCCGCCCUUUAAAAUCGAAACUAAUUCCUUCGGUGUUUUUGUAUUUCCGUCGGGCGCAAUGGGGAUUGAUGACGUCACCGGUCAUUCCCGUCAAAAUGGGCGUGGUACUUCGGGGGGGCGACAGACAAAAGUUUUAAUCGGGAUAAUGGAUUUAUCGCUAUCUCAGCCCUUUCUGUCCAGUCUGCGGAUAUAUCGGAUCGCCCGACCUACGUCGUUAGAGGUGGUUUGUACCUCACCCCUCUAGAGGGGAGGGAGACCACCGUUGGGAGCUGCAGACGCGCUGCUGGUGUUAAGCUUAAUGAGUCAGCAAUCGAUUGGCACGCAUAAUAUCUAUAUAUCUCCCUGCAUGGCUCACAAUUUAGAUUAUUCUCUUAACCCAUUAUCUGUGCAACUUAAUAUUAGUGUAAAUCCCAAUAAAAAUUGUUAGCAAUCGUAAAUAACAACCGACUCGUCCCGGAGUUGCGACUCAAAAUCGCUGAAGACAAACAUGAAGUAUAUUUAAAAUGGCGGAAUUUUAAAGUUUUACUGUCACUCCACUUCUCUUCGGCGGUCUCCAGAAAACCAACUUGUUCGGAUCUGAUUUUCCAAGUGUUAAGGGCGCCGAGAGAGGAGGGACGUCAGAUCAACCGAAUCCCGUUGUAGACGGUGCGGUGGGUUUCGGUAGCGCUUUGCGCGGGGGUCGUAGAUGCAUAGUAGACAUCUGGAUAGCAGAGGGGAGGCUCCGCCCUGGCAGAACCCGAUCAGACCGUCAGCUCGUCGAUGUUUCAAGCAGAUCCUUUUGUGGGCCAUAAAAUUGAUUUUUUUUUCCUGCUUUACUGUUUAAAAGUGUGGGAUUAUGUGCAGCACCAUACGUAUACCCCGCCAGUAAAACGGGUAACGGGACUCAAUAAAACACCACCUGUGGCCGUAUUUGUUUUUAUAGUUCUGCUUCUCCUUUUAAUAGGUGACUUAAUGUGUUGUUGUGAAUGACUAGAUACUGUUUUCGCACUCCAUAUUUUCAGUUUUGCUAAAAGUGGUUCUAAACACUAAAAAAAAGUAUAAAAAUCCCCAACAUUUGUCCGAUGGGAUUUAAUAUCGAUUGAGUUCGGUCAGGAGUAAUUAUGUGCUUGUUCGUGCACAUCCGUGUGUCCCCUCUAUCAACUAAAACAAAAUAAAUAUUUAACCCUCCGCAGCAAAAUAACAUGAACGGUGAUUACUCUGGUAUCCAUAUUAGUAUGCGGGCAUCCGCUGAAUUUAAAUGGACCAUAGGCACUUAAUGCUUAUCUGAAUCGAUUGUGGUCCUUUUAAAAUUUCAUUUCUCUCAUACAGGAAUAUAAAAUAGGAGGAGGAUAUGCGAGCACUGAUUUGGAGCAGAAACCAUCGCCUAUCGGUUGAACAUCAGAAAACUGGAUGAAUUUAUUUUCUAAACCUAUCCUGGGAUCGUUUAAAAAUCCUUUACAAGUUAGAGUAAUUUAGCAACUAUAAAAAUAAUGUCUAAUCUAUCAAUUAAGAGA